UGGUAGUGGAAGGUGCUGAUCAGAGCGC
rnacentral:sRNA from 1 species